CUCCCACUCUCCGAGUAUGAAGAGGGGCAGGGAGAGAUUUGGGGAAGCUCUGCUUCAGCUGUGGGCACAGGAGGCAGCACUCAGGACAAUCUCCAGCAUGGCCUGCUCUCCUCUCCUCCUCGCUCUCCUCGCUCACUGCACAGGGUCCUGGGCCCAGUCUGUGCUGACACAGCCGCCCUCAGUGUCUGGGUCCCCAGGGCAGAGGGUCACCAUCUCCUGCACUGGGAGCAGCUCCAACAUCGGAGAGGGUUAUUAUGUACACUGGUACCAGCAGCUCCCAGGAACGGCCCCCAAACUCCUCAUCUAUGAAAAUAAUAAGCGACCCUCAGGGAUUUCUGACCGAUUCUCUGGCUCCAAGUCUGGCACCUCAGCCUCCCUGGCCAUCACUGGACUCCAGACUGGGGAUGAGGCUGAUUAUUACUGCCAGUCCUAUGACAGCAGCCUGAGUGCUGACAGUGCUCCAGGCCCAGGGGGAACUGAGACAAGAACCCACUUCCUCCGCUACCAGGAGGGCAGUAGGCCCUGAUUGAAGUGGUAGUGCUUUGUGGCC